rnacentral:lncRNA from 1 species
AAGCUUGUACCAACUAUCGACGGUUCAAACAUCAUUGGAGCUAUAGGCAGGUGAUAGUGUUGCUUGACACAGAACAAUGAGCCAACCAUUAACAUAGAACAACACCCUAAUUACCUAAGCCUCGCCAGGCACCUCGCUUCCAGGCUGGGUACGAGUUGUCCUACCUGUUGUUACUAGCUUGUUCCUGAAAGUGCAGCACUCAACAGAGUAGACGAUGAUGAGGAAUACGAUUUUGACGGUGGUGAUCUUAUUCCUGUCAUUCUUCAGGUUAGUGGGCUUGCCAGCCUUGCAUGAUUGGCAGUCGUAGCACAGGGCCCUCUGAUCAUUCGACCACAGUGUUGCAGUCAGGGUCAUUGGUAGACAGGUAGAGUUGAAGCCACGAGGUUUGAUCCAGACAGUCUGACUCCGGUAAGUGAAAUUGCACCCAGCUGGGGGCUUGUGGCAUCCAGAUAGAACACAAGAUAGGUGUGUGUUAGCUGCAGAAAACACAACUUAGUAAUUCAGCAUAGCAUUGAUGAAAACACAAGUCAAAGCCAAAUGUCAAGAAGUCGCACUGACGAUGUAGGCAAGGCCGGUGGACCAAACGCGAUAAACUAACCUCAACAGCUAGAAUAACCGGAAGGAAAUUCGCCAUCGACAACGGCAUGGAUAAUACCCUCGGAAUACGGAGAAUAGGGGGGGCUUACUUGCCAUGUCGGCGUCGUUGCCACCACCAACGACGCUUGACCAAAGAAGACUUUUGUAAGCGCUGACACCAUCGCCGCUGGAAAGGCCAAAGCGUUCGACAUGAAAAAAUCUGCCUCAAAUCAAAAAUCAAAAAAGUUUGGAGAGUGAUGGUUGGGGAAGGGAAGCAAUUUGCUCCAUGAUUGAUUUGUAAAUACUUCUUUUUUGUAUUAAUGAAAAUCUAUUUUGAAAUGUAUGGUAUUUUAGAAAAUAUUAUAAUUAAUAAUAGUUUUAUGAUAAAAAAAACUUCUGUAACAUAAGGAACAAAUUUCAAGGAUAGACUGAACAUUUCAGCUAGUCAAUGAAUGUGGACUCCCUUUCAGUCAAGGUAGCUAAAAAAUACAACUAAUUCAGUGGACUGCCUUUUGCUAUAUCAUUGUCAUUGUACUAAACAUCUUCAGACAAUCAAUAGGUGCACUCUUAUUGUAACACAUGAUACACUUUAGAUGUUGAUAUUGUGUCACAACAUGAUUCAACCAUUGAUCUUAAUGAAAUGGAGUCUACAGAGAACAAGAGGUGGUAUAUUGGCUUCAAAAUAUUUUGACACAACCUAAUGAAAUUAAUUUAUUGUAUAUUCUGUCUUUAAUCAGAAUAUCUAGCCAAGUACAACAAUCUCACCUUGUUGGUGUUGAUGUACAAUCUCGCCAAGAGUCCUAUAGUUCAUUUAAAAAAAGUGUAUAGCAAGUUAAGUUAAUAACUCAUCUUAAGUUCUACACCUACACUCCAUCCACCAUGUCGCUGAGUUGUUACCGCGUUUACCUCUUCCUACGUCCCUUCCUAACUCAUAUAUAUUGCUCCUGUCCGAUGUGGUCUACACAAGCAGCUAAAGAAGCUAGCCACCAUUUCUAUGUUGUUGAAGUUGUGUUCCGGCGAAAUAUGGAACACACGGCAUUAGAUUUGGAAGGCAUUAGGAAAAGAACAACUUGUGAGUGCUUGAGGCGUGGUGAUCACCUAGUCUGCAACAUUGGUCUUCGGUGAAAGCAUGAUCCUAAAUCUGAUGGGGCUAAUAGUCCCAGGCGGAGGGAGUAAUUCACUUGCUCAAUUGGCAUGCAAUGAUUCUGUCUCAACCCAACUCACCGUGCACUUGAAGAAAGGAGGCAUGGUUACCAGGUGGAUGUUCCUUUGAGGAAAGUAAGACAUGGUCUCCAUGAUGAUCAUGGAAACAGCCAGAUUCAACCUUGCCAUGUGCAAAGCGGUGAAGAAUAUAUAUCUGGAUUCUCUCUUGUUCUUCAUGGAGGUCCGAUCAGUGUACAGUGCUAGGGAGGUAGCUACACGCUUUCUAGAGCAGCUGAGAAUGGUGUACAAUGUUGAUUUGUCACGCAAAAAAAUUGCACUUUCUAACAGCAUAUAAUAAGGGCCACAUGUAUCUAAAGAAAUAUUGGGCAAAGAGCUCACCUUGGGCUGGCAUUUUCGUAGACCAAGACAUACUAGAAACUUGAGCCAUUGAAAACUUUGAGGUGCAUGUGACACAUGGCUGCUAGGUGAAAAAAGGAGCAAGUUAAAAAACUUUGAGGUACAACCCACCUAUGCACGCCAAUGGCCCAAGCCACACGUUAUAAGCCAUCUUUGAUGCAGUGAGACAAAUUACCAUGGAUGCAGAUCAAAGCGAGCACCUAUGGCCAGUAAAAUGAGUGCAACUUCUCUGUUUCUACACUCUAGAGAAUCCAGUAAAGUUGACUAUGUUCUCUGGGGUUCCUAGUUACAAGAAUCCAUGGUUGUUCCACAAUGCAUUUGCAAACAGAAGCAAGAACAGGUGUUUGCUAUGCAAAGGACGGAAAAAAUCACAGGCAACUUCUGAACAUAUCAUGAUAAUAGGAGCCUCCAUAUAUUCAUUUACCAACUAUCGAUGGUUCAAACAUCAUCGGCGGAUGAGGAAUACGAUGUUGACAGUGACGAUCAUCUUCCAGUCUUUCUUCAGGUUGGCAAGCACAUCGGCCUUGCAUGACUGGCAGCCAUAGCAGUCUAGCAGAGGGCCCUCUGAUCAUUCGACCGCGGUCAUUGUUAGAGUUGAGGCCAGGAGGUUUGAUCAAGACGGUGUUUGCACAUGGUCGGGGUUUACAGCAUCUAGACUGGGCACAUGAUAGGAGUGUGUUAGUUGCAGAAAACACAACGUGGUAAUUCAGCAGCAGUUUUAGCAUUGAGAAAACACAAUUCAAAGGCAAAUGUCAAGGAAGAAAUACAUAAAUACAAGAUAUAUGAUGGUCUGCAUGUGAGAUCAUCGAUAGCAGUACAGAAGUAUCAUUCAGGGUCAGACCAAAGAGUAAAUCCUUUUCGGAAAAAAAAGACCAAAGAGUAAAUAUCAGUAUAUUGGUUUGCAAAAAUGGCAGUAGCAUGAGGGGUGACGUGACGAUGAAUAUCAUGGAAGUGCUGGUACAGUGCUUCUGAAGCAACAAAAAGUUAAAAAGUUUUUUCUUCCUUUUUUUGCGAGUAAAAAUUCAAAAAGUUAUACCAGUUGAUUACACAUAAAGAGAUUAUACUGAAUUUAGGUAAGCUACACCCCAUAUUUGCAUUUGGCACAAGCUAAAUUGGCACUCCAAAGAAACCACCUGCAGGAAAAGCAAAUCAUGGAUGCAGCAAGUCUUCAAUACAAUAAUGUCAAAGGUUUUAAUUGACAUGAACAAGGUAUUACCACACGCAACAAAAGGAGAAUUACAAUGUGGGAAUUUUCACGGGUAUGCUAAGUCCACAACUGAGUAAAGUUUAAGCAAAUCCUAUCGCAAAUUCAUUCCUUCAUCAGAAUGGUGUACAAUAUAAUAGUCUCAUGAACAACUUAAAAAACUAGUGAAAUCUAGUGGCAUUGAUUUGUACCCAAACAUGCCAUGAAACAAACCCAAUGAAACAAGUUGAAUUGCUAGCACUAGUCGUGACUACUACUCAAAUCUCCCAUUAAUCUUCACCAAAGCCCUACCACAAUACUAUAAUACAUUGACAUGCAGCCAAAGGCUAGCUGUAUCCAUUAGCGUUUAGCACAUAAUAGACAAAUAAACAGCCAAGCAAGAUAGCAAGAGGGGAGACAACCACAGUACAGCACCAUAGCAAACUGGAAGAUAAACAGUACAGAAAGUAAGUAACUAACCGACAAUGUACCAUAGCAUAGAAAUUGCAGAGCAAUUAUUCAUGCGAACUGAAGUGUCAUGUGUUGUGGACCUUGUGGAGAUGGGAUCAGACGAUUCUUCUACCUGUCCAAUGGAAUACUCACACACAAUCUGUACCAACUCCACAUGCACUGCCACUCGUUAGCACUAUCCACAUCAUCCUACAUUUUUUUGGUUUUGGGGUGAAAUCUAACUAAAACAGCGAGCUGAGGAGCCCGACCCGGUCGUGAAAAGUAACCGAUGAGCGAGCUGAGCUGAGGAGCGAGCCAGAAUGUUAUUUGGCUCACGGCCUGCGGAUGCACGCCCUGAGCACUGUUUGCCGACACACUCUUGAGGCGCUAAGAGCAUCUCCACCCGGUGAGCUAGAUAAGCCGUGCGCUUGAAAAAAGGGCAAUAUAGCGCGCGCGACCGAAAGUAGCGCUCCAGUAGUCGCGCUAUAAUGCCGCACGCAGUAUAUAAGGUUCAAUGCGUUGGGGAAACUGCAUCGUGCACAGCGUAUUUGGUGUGCCCGCUCGCGCGCUGCAAAAUCUGGACUGCUGCGGGUGGGGCCGCCGGAUUGGGCGCCGUGUUUUUGCUCUUCUGGUAAAGCAAAAUACCAGCCCAGCGUGCUGAAAUGCUAUUUCGGGGCUGAGGAGCUGAGGAGCCCAACCCGGUCGUGACAUAUAUAUAUAUAUAUAUAUAUAUAUAUAUAUAUAUAUAUAUAUAUAUAUAUAUAUAUAUAUAUAGCUGUCUAGGGCCUGCCUCGUUUCCUUUCUUUUGAUUGAUAGUUUGUUUUGAUUCUUUUUCCUUUUCUUUUAUACUUUUAAUUAUAUUUAACAUUUUUAUGCAGUGUUUAAUAGAUGUAAUGCUGUGUUAAGAAAAUGUUCGCGCAACUUUUAGAAAAAUUUAAUAGCAUUAAAAAUGUAGCGUGAUCCCAAAAAAGUAUUCGACAAAAUUUUCAAAAUGUUUGCAAAACGUAAAAUACAUAUUCAUGUAUUUUUAAAAACAAUGUUUUGCAGCCUUCAAAAAAUAGAUUCGACAUUUAAAAUCUUUCACGAGUUUGAAAAACAUGUGACAUUUCUAAAAAAAAUAUACACUGAAAAAAAUUCUCCUAUUUUAAAAUUCUAUGUAUCAUUUAAAAAAUAAUUGAACACAUAUUUGAGAAAAAUUAACACGUAUUUGAAAAAAUAUAGAUCUUGUAUUAAAAAAAGAUCACAGAGUAUCAAAAAAACUUUUAAACAUGUACACAAAAAAGUACAACGUGUGUUGCAAAAAAUAGAGAUGUGUAUUGAAAAAUGUACAAUCUGUAUUUAUAAAAAGAGANNNNNNNNNNNNNNNNNNNNNNNNNNNNNNNNNNNNNNNNNNNNNNNNNNNNNNNNNNNNNNNNNNNNNNNNNNNNNNNNNNNNNNNNNNNNNNNNNNNNNNNNNNNNNNNNNNNNNNNNNNNNNNNNNNNNNNNNNNNNNNNNNNNNNNNUAAAAAGAGAAAAAAAAACAGAAGAAAACCAAACAAGAAAAACAAAAAACCGAAGAAAGAUACACGGAAACUACCACAGAAACAAACAGAAAAAGCCACACAAAACCUGUCAAAACCACCACAAAAAAAGGGAAAAGCCCACACAAAAAACCGGUCGAAACCACCACAUAACCAAACAGGAAAAAAAACGCACGGAAAACCAGUCAAAAACGUCCCUGAAAAACCGCUCCCCAUGACUUGUAUUGGGCUGGCCCAUCUUCCUCCCGCCAGGGGGCGAGACCUACGUAGUAGAUAGCCUGAUUAGUUUACUUCUCCCUUUCCUUCCUCUUCUUCUUUUUUUAAUUUCCGUUUUCCUUUUUUAUUUUUCCUUUCUUGUAUUUUUAUUUUUCUUUUUUAAUUUUCUUAAAUUUUUUGGAGUUUUUUCUAAAAUAAAUGAACUUUCUCCAAAUUUGAGAACUUUUUUAGAAUUGAUGAAUUUUUUUUCAAAUCCGACGAAAUUUUUUCAUAAUCGUUGAACAUUUUCUGAAAUUCAAUGAAAUUUUUUUAAUUGAUUAAAAAAUAUCAAAUUUUUUAACUUUUUCAAGAAUUGAUGAACUUUUUCCGAAUCAAUGAACUUUUUUUUAAAUUUGAUGAAAUUUUUUAAAAAUCCAUAUUUUUUUCUGCAAAUUUGUGAUUUUUUUCAGAAUCGAGGAAAUCUUUUUCGAACUCAAACUUUUUAAACUCUUUUGUUUUUGAUUUUUCUCAAAUUCAUGAAUUGUUUUAAAAUUUGUGAACUUGUUUUCAAAAUGUUUUAAAUUUUUUGAAUACAUGAAUUCUUUUGCAUGUUCGUGAACUUUGCUUUUGAAAUCUGUGAACUAUCAAUUUUUUGGUUCACAUUAAAAAAACGCAUUUUGUGCAAUAAAUAGCGCGUCCGUUGUUGUUCUUAAAAGGUCCGCGAUGUAAAUAGUCAGUAGCAUGUAGUCGCUCUCCUGGUUAGCCUGAUGGUACAGGAGGCCGACGGCACAAGAUCAAGUCGUUGUGCCCCUUGCGUUCUGUGGCGCAAAAGGCGCGGAAUAAGAGGCCCCCUUUAAGCACGGAACCAUGAUGAUAACAGAAAAAAAGAAGAAAAAAACAUGGAUCCACGAUGGCCUCGGCAUCCAGAGCCAGAGGGAUCAGCACGGGGACGGCUGGCUCAUCUUCUUACCCACUGCUCUCAUUUCCCCUGCCCCCUCUUUUCUUUUCUUCUCUCUGAACGACUCCUGUAAAACUGAACCGUGUGUCUGAACUAGUGUGUUCAGUGGGAUUGAGGAAGAACACUAGUAAACCCUGUCAGCCCAUCUCCUAAGAUACAGUAUUUUUGAGGAUGCGGAUUUCAUUAUUCUACCGGACACCUUUGCGUUCAGGUCAUCGAUACAACAUCCAGGCUAAUUACCUGAAAUAUAAUUAAAUUUUUCGUGCAAAAGAAUCCUCUGAUCAGAAGCAAAAAUCGGAUGUACCGGACUACUGCGUGCUGGUCUGAUCAGCAGCAGAGAUCGUGAUGUAAAGCCAUGACGAUGCUUACACACAAAGAAUAACAUUGGUUGUUCCAAAUCAUCCAAAUAAAUAAAUACAGGUAGUAAACAUGUGAGAAACACGAACGGGGAAAACAUCGACAUGAAGGAAAGAUGCAUGUAGACGGAACGGUAAACCUACUAGGUCAGAUCAAUACGACUGACACUGGAGUUCAGUAGGUCUUGAAGGCAGGACGAUUGAAAUUACAUGCAAGCUGUUCCUGCAAGUCUGCCACGAAGUUGUGCUCGUAGGUACCCACAAGCUUAAAUUCCUUGAAGCUCAGAAGAUUUCGUAGCCCAGAAAACAAGCCAACGUGUGCUGCUUUAAGCGAACUACGAAACUGCAGCAGCUCUAGCUUAGCUGUUGCUCCCUGUUCAAACUUCACUGAUCUGAGGUCACCGACCCGAUCCAGUUCCAGCAGCACCAGACUCGGGAAUGUGUCCUGAUGGAAAGUGACACGGAUAUCAUUUCCAUCGAAAGACUCCUUCCACAGACGCAGUAUGGCCAGUUUUGGCAAACUCCCAAGGACUUCUACGGCAGCAUCACAUAGCAACAUCCUUGAGCUCUGUAGCUUUAACUUCACGAGAUUUUUAAGCCCCUCGCCCUUCACCCAUCCUGGCAAAGUGACCAUAUUACCGUAAAACUUGAGGCUCUGGAGGUUUUUCGGGGGCGCGCGCAAGCCAUCCAAGCAGGCAGAUAAACCAGGCUUGCCCGCUGACUGCAUUGACAGCGAUUCCAAGCACCUGAGAUGAGCAAUUGUCGAACAGAACUCUUUACUGUUUCUCUUGUUGAUGCCAGUUACCCUUAACUUACGAAGCCCGCCAAGUCUGCUCAAGUCUUCUAGAGCGGCCUUCCCCGAUGCGAUGUUCACAGCACCCAGAGUGUGCAGGGCUUUCAGUUUAUGGAAUCCUCUGGGAACUGCAACACCACGUAGACAUUGGUGCCUUGCAAACGCAGGUAAAAUGGAGCAGCAGCACGCAGUGCAUACAUCACGCCUGUUCACGUCUCCAUCCAUAUCUGUUGAGUAACGUGAUUGUAUUAGGAAACAUAGGUUAAGACUAGGAAAUAUUCUGGCUUGCCUUGUACUCCAAGUAGAUCAUGUACUCCUAUAUAUAUGCCCAUGAGGCUCAAGCAAUACAACAACAAUUCCACCAAUCACUCUCUCCCUUUUAACAUGGUAUCUAUCGCAAGUCGAUCCUAAACCCUAGCCGCCACCGCUUCCGCACCUGCGCGCCGCCCCCGGGGCGGUCGGUCUCCUUGACCGCCGCCGGGGGCUGCGCCGCCCGUACCUAGGGUUUGUCCGCCGGUCGUGUUGACCGGCUGCCCUAGAGAGUCUUUUUUCCGAUCCUUUGAUCCGGGUUUUCUCUCUCGCCGGUCACUUUGAUCGGCGUCUACUUUUUGGUUUUCCGGUCUUUGUGAUCCGGUUUGCGUCGCCCACCGCCGCCGUCGACCCCGUGCGCCUCUACUCCGACUUCGGCAUCGACUACACCGGCGUCUUCACCGACCUGGCGGCCUCACGCGUCGUCCACGCGUCUACCCGCCGGUCGCCCCGACCCGGCGGCCUCGCAUCAUGCGGCGGCCCUUCACCGCCGCCGUUCGCGCGACGGCCCGCCCGUCGAUCUACGCCGGCCGUCACCGCCUGCUCCGACCGGGACUCCUGCAUCACCCCGACCCGGCGGCCUCGCGCCAUGCGGCGGCCAAUCAUAGCCGCCCUGCCGCCCGCCGCUGCCGGCUUCAUCUCGGACUCCGCCGCCACCACGCCUUCACCGAGCGGUGUCCCCGACCUCGCGCGCGAUCGGCUUGAUCACCCGCUCGCCGCCGCUAUCAGCCUCAUCUACGCCGCGCGACCGACCUGGCCCGUCGGUUACGCGCGCCUUCGCAGGUCCCGUGAAGAUCGUCUCCGAGUUCAGCGCGCCCCUCCGUCGAUCGAGCAACGGGCUGCCGCUGCGUCGCCCCGUCGGGCCGCAGCGCCGCCGCCCCGUGGUUCUCCUCCCGGCUGCACCGACCCGCGUCACCGUUGCGUCGCCCCUUCAGGCCGUAGUGCCGCGGCCCGCGGUCUACCGCCGCCCCGAGGUCGUCCACUCCAGGCCGUCCCCGUGGCUGCACCGACCCUCGCGCCGCCGCUGCGUCGCUCCGUCGGGCCGUAGCGAGCGUGGCACGCGGUCCACGCCGCCGUCUCGAGGCCGUCCACGCGGUUGCACCACCCCGCGCUCCGCCGCUGUGCCGCCCCUUCGGGCUGUAGCACCGCGGCCCGCGGUCCCUGCGACCGUCCCGAGGUCUUCCGUCGUCACCCCGACCUGCCCGCCGCCGCCGCGUCGCCCCUUCGGGUCGUAGCGCCGCGGCCCGCGGUCCAUCGCCGUCCCCGCGCGUCGAUCUCCCGUGGUAUGCGCCGCGCCGUCUCCUUUGGCGCGGGAACACCACCGUCCGCGCCGGUCUUCGUCACGCUGUCAGGGUUCUUCGCCUACUUCGAGCACCGCCGCCGCACUGCUAACCUAGCCGCCGCCGCUGCCGCUCUUCUUUGGCCGCCGCCGCCGCUACCUUCAUAGCCGCCGCCGCCGCCCGUCCACCCCCUUCGUCUUCGUACAGCUUGUGCAGGUCCCAGUCUAUGCAUGCCCGGUACUGGCAACACCGCCGCGUGCCUUCGUCCACGAUGUGUCCCCGGGCCUGGCAAGCCUGGUGCGGCGCUUCGUCAACUUCGUCUUCGUCCGUCUACGCAUGCCCGGUGCUGGCAACACCGACGCGUGCCUUCGUCUACGAUGUGUCCCCAGGGUUGGCAACCCCGGCGCGACGCGUCGUCAACAUCAUCUCCGUCCUGGCGCACCACUACUUCGACACCACUGCGCCCACGACUAACUCGGCGCCCCCUUGCGCCCGCGGCUCCACGGCGACUUCCUCGACACCGGCCACCCCGACUCGACAUCGACCACGGCAUUCUUCGCACGGCUACCUCGACCACGGCUCCACCACACACGCUCUCGGCUACAUCGACAAACGGCACAAAGGGCUACCGCCCGCUUGAGCAACCUCGUUGGUUUCCACUCCAGCCACGACUCCGCGAUGCAUCGACCGUUACGACUGUGGGGGGUGUCCGUCGGCUUACCUUCGGAUUCUUCUCCAGUCUCAACGUCUGCAUCGCUACCGUUGUGACUGCGGGGGGAUGUUGAGUAACGUGAUUGUAUUAGGAAACAUAGGUUAAGACUAGGAAAUAUUCUAGCUUGCCUUGUACUCCAAGUAGAUCAUGUACUCCUAUAUAUAUGCCCAUGAGGCUCAAGCAAUACAACAACAAUUCCACCAAUCACUCUCUCCCUUUUAACAAUAUCCAAACUCUCUGCCACAAGAGGAGAUGCGCAGCAUCCCACACAUAGUGCCACUGAAGAGCAAGUCAAAAAGCAUAGCCUGUUCCUCGUUAGCUUUGGCACAUCUUCAAAGGAUGUUUCAAAGUCGUCGUCGUUGUCAUCUUGAUUUCUGAUGGCGCCAGCAAGAAUAUGCUGUAGCUUACUAAGCUUGACAAUGCUCCCUGGUAACUUGAAUAUGGAUGUGCCUGCAAUAUCUAAUGUCUGGAGUUGCCUUAGGUUACCCACCGAACCUGGCAGGUGAUAAAUAUGAAGACAUCCUCUUAGGGAUAGGUAUCUUAGGUGAAGAAGAAUUCCGAUAUGCUCGAGGUGAUGAUCAACUAGACCUGACGUGUCUUCCAGGUCAAGUACUUGUAGAAGCCUUGUCUUCUCAGAAAUGAAAAAUGGCCUCCACUUGCCAAAUAUUGUCAAUGACCGUGUAUGAGAUAUGCCCACUAUGCUCUCAAAUUCACUUUGGUCUUCCUCCCAAUUCCAACUUACAGCAAGGUGUCGGACUGUGCCCACUCCGUCUAGGCUACAACCUUCCUCCAAUCUGAAAACAAGAUUUGCUUCCACUGACUUAGAAUUACCAAUUCCACGGAUCAUAUCAUGGACUUGGCACGAGUCAAUUCCUUUUGUGCUACGAAAUGAUUGUUGAGUCGGUAGUAUCAUGCCCCUGCUUAUGAGUUCCAUGAAGUAGCUCUCUCUCGUUUCCUCCACGGACCUGGCACGCACCACCCUUGAGUAACCUUCUGCAGUCCACCGCCGCACCAACCGUCUCCGGCUAACCUUUUGGUCUUGGAGGAAGAUGGACAUGUGUAAUAGACAAGAUUUUAGGUGAUAGGGUAAGCCAUCGUAGCAUUUGCUAAGGAGUGCUCUUAUGACCCCAACCUCUGUAUUCAUCUCCAGCUCAUCAUUGAUUUGCUCAUUAAAUCUUCUCCACUCCUCCAAGGUUUUUGGUUGGUUUGCCAAGAAGGUAGCUGUGGUGACAAUUGCCAGGGGUUGUCCACGGCACAUUCUCAAUAUCAGGUCUGCCUGUUCAGCUAGCUCAGGAUAUUGCUCAUCGAAAUUUACAGUCUCCUUAAAUACCUGAAACAUGUACAGUGUAAUUAUGUGGUAGGAGUUGAGUUCUCCAUAAAAUAUAUUUAAGUACUUUAUAAAAAAACAAUGUAAUUAUCUCUCCCAAAAGAAAGAGUGGGGUGGUUUGGGGGUCCCUAAUCUUAGGAAAUUCAAUAUGUCUUUGUUGGCUGCUUGGAGUAAACGAUUUUUUGAUGAUAGGGAUAGUGACUGGAAAGAAAUUGUUGGAGUUCAAGUAUAGUGUGAAUAGACCUAGCAUACUUUGGGCUAAGUCUGGGAUGGGAUCUCCCUUCUGGAAGAGUUUCACCUGGGCUUGCUCUGCUGCCAAAACUUUUUAUAGAUGGAUUCCUGGGAAUAGGAGAAAUAUUUCCUUUUGGCAUGAUACUUGGGUGGGUGAUUGUUCACUCAAAACUAGCUUUUGGGAUCUUUUUGUGAUUUGUCAACAACAAGAUGCCUCAGUGGCUCAGGUGUGGGAUGGGGAGAAUCUCCAGCUGACCUUUAGAAGGUGUGUUAGUGAAGAUAUCUUGUGUUCCUGGAAUGAACUUCUCGGUAUGAUUAAAAGUGUUCCUUUUAAUAACUUGGCGGAUAAGCCUGUUUGGUCUAUGGAAAGUAAAGGGUCAUACUCUGUUAAAUCUAUGUAUAAGAUGAUUAAUUGGGGGAGCGUGGUCUCUAUCUGGAGGGAUUAUAUUUGGAAAAUCAAAGUUCCCCCUAAUAUUCAUGUUUUUCUGUGGCUAAUUGUGAAUAAUAAAAGUCUAACCAGGGACAAUCUGGCUAAGCGCCAGCAUGUGGAAGACCUGACUUGUGUCUUUUACUGUGAACCUGAAAGCCUCCAGCAUCUGUUUUUUGAUUGUGUAGUUGCUCGACAAGUUUGGCUGGUGAUAGCUAACUGUACCAAGAUGCCUGUACCUAAUUCGUUUGAGUCUUUGCUUCCUUUUUGGAAGAAGAAAAAGAGUUUUGAUGCUGUAAAUUUGAUUUCUGCUGCUACCUUAUGGAGCUUAUGGUUGUUUCGGAAUGAAAUUGUGUUCCAGGGGCGAAGAUGGAGAAGCAUCAAAUGUGUACUGGAGAUGGUGGGGAGACAUAUUUAUCAAUGGAAGAUCUUGUGCGCGGAGUCCCAGGGUGUACUACUCCUCCAAUGCUUGAAGCUGCUCGACCAUCAUCGCGGGGAGUUGCUUAGAAUUGCCUGGCUGGAUGAUGCGCCUGUAGGGAGUUCAGUGCCUCUGCGCUUGUAGUUCCUAUAGGGGCCAUUCGAAGUUCUCUUAGUGGACUUUUAAUCUGCUGGAUGUUUGAAUGUGUAAUAAUUCUGCUGUGGCUACUUCUGGCUGGAGCCGAGAGCUGUAAACUCUGUUCGUCGGUUGCCUUUGCUUUUUCAAUAAAAAGUUGUUUCAAAAAAUGUACUUUUAUCUGUUUCAUGGUUAAAAAGGAGGAAUUAAAAAUCAGAAGGGGUAGGAGUUGAGUUCUCCAUAAGAUAUAUUUAAGUAUUUAUAACACAUGUAUUUUUUAUUAAGUAAAUUACAGUAUGAAUUAUGAAUCACGUGAUUUGACAUAAUUGCACAACAUACAUGGACAGAAUCUAUUUACAUGGUACCAUGUGGUUCGUCCUUGUGGAUUGGAGAUCAUAUUAAUAGAUUUUAACCACACGCGGCACCAGGCCCGUACCGGACACAUGUGCAGCAUGUUCAACAGCACAGGGCCCCCAAGUGACCAGGGGCCCCAAUUUUUUCUGUACACUAUUUUUUCUGAACACUUAUGCAAAUAUGCUUCUUAAUUAAUGACCAAUCAAUGCAUUUUUUAAUACGAAGUACUACUAGUAUUCCUUGGGAACAUGCACGGUAAUACUAGCUCCCAGUACUCCAUCUCACGCACGCCUCUCCUCCUUCCUAUUCUCUUUCUCCGUAGUCUCUUUCACUUCCAGCGACACAUGCACAUCCUUUGCUCCAUCGCACGGCUCCUAGCUUAAUUCCUUUGCGGUUUCUCCGAAAUAAACAUCUAUUUACGCUCUACCCUCAAUCCAAUAUCUAUUUAUUAGGUGUCUCUGCUUAUUAGAUUUUGUUGCUGCUUCUACCUACGCUGCCCGACUAGAGCUUUAACAAGACUACCAGAACUCAUAAAAAGAGUUUGCUUAUAUAUGUUCUAUUUCUAACACAUCAUAUACUAAUCAUUCAAUCUAAAAAUGUGUUCUUGAUAUGUUUUUAGCAAAAUAAUCAAGUGGCAUUUUGGAGAAGAUUGCUUAUGAAAAACAAAUUGAAGAUUUUCUAUCAAGGCUGCUAGAAGGAUGCAUGUUUACGCUAAUUUUGAGUUUUGAGAAUUUGAGUAUAAUUUUUUUUUCCUAAUAAUUGCCAAUGGUUAUAUCAAGGGCUUAAUUUUGGAUGUUGAACAGGGCCCCCGUUUUCUCGGGUACGGCCCUGCGCGGCACAUUCUCGAGGGUAAUAGAAACGCUAUGUAUUUCAUCUCAUCACUAAUGGUAGACACCAAAAGAACAGGAAUUUCCAAUUAGAGAGGAAGAUGGUACAAUGGUCGGUGAGGACAAACUCAAGGUGUACAUAACUACUCCCUCCGUCCCACAAUGUAAGACGUUUUUGCAAGCUGCAAAAACCUCUUACAUUGUGGGACGGAGGGAGUAAUUUUUAUAGGUUGUUGUUAGGGCAUGUACAAUGGUUGAUAAGAUAAUCUUAUCUUAAGUCUUGCAUGUGAUUUAGAGAUGACAAAAAAACUUGUCUACAAUGGGUCAUAUCUUAGCCUUAUCUUCAAUAACUAGUAAUUCCUAAAAAUGUGGUGAGACAUAUUGUGCUAAGAGAUCACCUCUUGUCUUCUCUUAAAUAAGAGAAGACAAGUCUUUUCUUAUGAGUUCUCUCUCCUCCACCUCAUCAUCUAUCCUACGUGGCAUUGCUAAGAUAGAACCAUUGUACAUGCCCUUAGAUUCCCAGUAACGAACUUUAUCUUGCUAGAUGAGGGUGUCACAUAGGACAUCCCUCAGCUUCCUUCAUGGAGAAACAAGUGUGGGAUGCCAUUUCCGAAAUGGAACAUAAUAAAGGUUAUGGAUGUUUAUUGAGGGGGAAUUGAUGGCUCCGUUCACGGAGUUGUAUAGCCCUUACACAAGCUCAACUUUGGCAUCAUCACCCUUCUUCCUAAGAUAGAGGAGGCUAUCAAACACAUCAAUUUCACCUUCUUUGUCUACUCAAUGCCAGCUUAAAAAUAUUCACCGACAUAGCAAGGAACUGCAUAAUUGUGAUUGCCCACAAGUGGCGUGGCCGACGCAGUGACGUAGAGUGCAUUCAAGCUCAGGCGACACUCCUAGAGGGGAUAGUUAUUUUCCAUGAUACUAUUCACGGAUCACGAGUUGCACCCGAAGAAACUCGAUGUGGUUAUCUUCAAGGCGUAUUUCGAAAAAGAUUAUGAUGAGGUCAAAUGGCCUUUUAUACAACAACCAACAAAACAUGUGAAUGAAGGCUUUCCUGACAAAUGGGUCCAAUGGGUUAACUAUUAUUUUAGAUGUCGAAGGGUUAAGGAAAAGAUUGACCUACAAUGGAUACACUUUUCUUUGGUGUUUCUCUGCUGAAUAAUGGAUUCAGGCAAGCCUUUACUGGGGACAGAUGGAUAGACUGGUCGAAGCACAUGCAGAGAUUGAUUUUUUGAUAAAGCAUGCACAGGUAGAUGAUGGUCAACCUCGCCAAGGAGCCACAUACCUUCUGCUGGAAGCUUCACAAUUCAUGUGUCUUGCUUGUUAAAUUUAUGUAUAUGGACCUCAUGAGUGAUAGCCAGCUACCGCCCCAAAUAUAUUUCGAAAUUGAUAGUAUGUGGUACUUGGACAGGAAAGUGAUCCUGACCAAUAAUAACAAUCUAAAAAAGUGGAAUUGGCAGGGGUUCACAAAAAUAUUGCUUCUGUGGAGACGAGGAAUCGAUUCACCAUUUAUUUCUUACAUGUCGACUUGCCAACUUGAUGUAGCGUUUAAUCCAUGUAGCUAUUAAUUGGCCACCGCCAACGAGUAGUACCAAUGUAUUUGGAAACUGGUUAGUGGGGGUACAUCCUAAGCUGAAGGGUAAAAUUUGCAUUGGAGUUUGUGCUUUACUUUGGGACAGAUGGAAUUGUCAUAAUGAUUGUAUUUUGGGCGAAAAUUCUAAAAGUUUGCAGGUAACUUAUAAGGAUGUUAAUUGGAUCCAUACGAGGUCUUAUCUUUGCCAGAGGAGGACCAGGCAUCCAUGGUCUCUGGCUACAACCUGUGGAAGAUGGCCACUCAAGAUUUCUUAAGCCGUUAUAUGGGUGGUGGCCUAGUUGCAGCAUUGGUGACACACGGGACUUCAUUCUCUAUGGAUCAUGUAUCGGUAGUCUUUCUCCCGGAUUGCUAUAUGUGUGCCUCUUUUUUUUUUAAGUUUUUCAACUUGUUUGGACCUUCUGGAUGUUGCAAUAGCUAUAUCAAAGGGGUUUUUUUUUUUGAAAGGAGGAUAGACCCCCGGCCUAGCUAAUCAAAGGGUUACGUUCAUGAAUCGAUGCGGAGGCGGGAGUUUGAUCCCUCUUUUUUUUAAGUAGACAAACUAAAUUGCGAGGGAAUCAAGUAAACAAUAUUUAACCUAUAAGCUUCACUGAACACAAAGCUAAACUGAACUGAGUGCCGUUCAAAAAAAGGUAAACUGUUGAGUGGAGCAUCAAGAACAUUACAAAUUCGAGUAUAUAGCAAAAAACUGAGUGCCGCAUAUAGAAUUUUGGAGGUUUGAUUGCAUGAUAAAGAAAAAAUUAUCAUGAAUUACACAGUGCUAUCCUGCCUAAAGCUUUAUUACUAAAAGUUAUAUAAUUGUGCAUUUUCAUGAUAGCGUAUGUGUUACAUUCUUAUUUAACAAAUCACCAUGCGUUAAGCAUUACAGUUUUACAGGAAAUACAACUCUAUGUGCGCAUAUAUAUGUAUUAUAAUAUAUGACAGUGUAAUUGUUACCAAAAGCUGGAACAAGAUUGGAGUACUGUGGUAAUUUGUACAAUCCUUAUUAAAAAUAAAUAUAUGAUUAAAAAAUGAAGUAUUUCCUACAUUGUAAGUACCUUUGUUGUGAAGAGGCUAUGUGCGUCAUGGUAGUUUAGAGCAAAGAGUGUGUAUAUGCUACUUUUUCCCCAUGAGCACUGUUUGGCAAUAUUAGAGAAUCUUGUGGUAACUAUGAUCUGACUUGUAUUUUCUGUUUCAGGGAAUGCUUGACUUAUCCCGUCCCACUCAGUAGUAGACAACAGAUCAUCAAGAACAAUGAAGCACCUCUUUGUUGCUAAAUGUCUGGCAAACAACUUGAUCAACUCUUCAAGAGACCUCAAUGGUAAUCUUUUCUUUUCAUUGUGCAACAAGCCCAUCAUGUCCUCUUCAGAAUUUUCUUCAUCUAAUUGCACGACUAAGCUCGUAAGGAGCUCCUCGAGAAUGAAGGGACGCAAGAUUGUUGCAUAAGCAUGCUUCUCAAACAUUCCACGGAGCUCCUGGUGUUGGUAGAUAGCUUGUACUAGAGUAGUUUUUCCAAUACCAACCAUCCCCGACACCCAUAUCACCUUACUUUGUUGGAUAUCUUCAUUUGCAAUUAGUUUGAUAAGUUCGUAUUUCUCUUUUUCACGCCCAACAAGAUAAGAUGCCUCUGAAGCAGCUGCUAUCAACCUGAUACAAUUGGGCAAGGUACCGGUAGUGUCUGUGGUUGACCAUGACCCUCCGGUGAGAUCUUCUCGACCAUGGGAACUCUGCACACAUGCGAGCAAUGUUAGGCAGUGGCCACAAUUUAGAUCUUACCCUGUAUCAGCAUAUUUAAUAGAUGAUGUAGAUGCAAAAAUAACUAACUUUUGCAUCUCCGAGGCCCAUAAACCCAUCUCCAACAGAUGAUGUUGAUGAAAAAAAAUAGAUGACCUCCUUCAGAAGAUGUAAAAUACAACACCUGAAGAUGCAAAUUUGCAUCUCCACCUCCAGGUGACCACGGUUGCGCGCCAACCACCAACCGUCUUCAAUUUCCCUUCCCUUCUUCUUUCUCCAUCCGCCGCCCCGAUUUGCCCACCACACUCCCACUGCCGCCCGCCAGUGCCAGAUCCGGCAGCGAACCACCCCUGCCGCCGCUCCUCUGUUGCCGCCCCCCGCCUCGAUUACCGACUGCCGCUGCCUCGAUUCCUCACUCCCACCGCCACGACGCUCGGCCGCAACAGCCGCCGCCGCGCAGCCGCCACUACCCCGCUGUUGCCAUGCUGCCGAAAAAGCUACCAAAGAGCAAGACGGAGUUCUUCGACGUGCAGGCAAAGCCGUCCGGCAACUUUGACGUCAAGUUCUCCGAUGCCGUUCGCCGCUUCUGACCCGGCACAUACCUGACCGUCGAGGAGGCCGCUCGUGCAUACAACAUGGUCGUAUGGCGUGCUGGGAGGCCGAGGAAGGACCUCAACUUCCCAAAGAUUGAUACCUGGGCGGAUGCAGUGUUCCUCGUGCCAGACAAUAUUUGGAUGGAGGAGAUGAAGAAGAAGUUGGCCAUUGUCGUUGCUCCCGGCGAUAGCGAUGAGGCGGCGAUGGCGAAGUUUGCCGGGAGCAUCCGGAGUAUCUCGAGGCUGAGCACGGGUUCUUCUGGAAGUGCGAGGCUGAACAGAUGAAGAAGAAGGGGGUGAAGAAGGAGGAUGAGGCCAGCCCCUCGACGGUGAUCCCUGUCAAGUCCUCAGAGGAGGACAACGAGAAGUUCGGGGACACUAGGAGGAUGACAGCGAGGAGUUUUGGAUGCCUUCGAAUGACGAGGAGUGAUGGAUGUAGUAGUUUCAAUUAGUUGUAGUAGUCUUUAAUUUAUGUUUUUUUAAUUAGAACUAUGUUUCAACUGAAGUAGUAGUUGAACUUGUUAUGUUUGAAUUAUGUUUCAACUGAAGUAGUAGUUGAAAUUUCUAAUUUUACAUCUUGAGUAUACAUCAUCUAUUGGAGUUGGACUUUUACAUCACCAAUAUACAUCAUCUGUUGAAGAUGGCUCUUUUUUGAAGAUGUAAAACUCAUAUAGGUAAUCUUGAGUGAUAGAAAUUUGUGAACUUUUCUGGAAGAGGGUGUACCGAAGCAAAACUCAUAUAGGUAAUGUUUUUAAGUUUCCUAUUAGCAUUUAUUCUGCUAGUUGCUAUAAAUAUGGUGGGAAAUACUUGUUUAUGUUGUAGACGUGUUGCACGCUAUGGCUAAAGUUGUACUCACUCCGAUCGAUCCAUAGUUAGUGUCGUGGUUUUAGUUCAAAUGCGCAACCAUGGGUAACUUGUUAUAAUGAGAAAAGAAUUGACACAUUCUGAUAAUUAGGAAAAAUUUACAAUUAUAUACUCCCUCCGUCCGAAAAUACUUGUCAUCAAAAUGGAUAAAAAGAGAUGUAUCUAGAACUAAGGGAGUAGUAUAGAACCACAGGUAACACCUCAUUCUCAAAUGUCCUCUUACCAGGCUUUUAUGGCAUACGAUUCAUGUAGCUUCAGUGGCAGCCCUUCAAACAUCAUUUACACGUUAUUUGGGACGUGACUAAAUGAAGUGGAUCCAAAUACUGCCGGACUUAUUCACAUAGGAGUAUGCACAUUACUUUGGGUUAUAUGGAACUGCAGGUUAUAUACCGAGCCACUUGGUUGGAUCCGUACAUGGUCGAUACUUAGUCAUACGGAAGCCAAGGAGCUUAUGGCUAUUGGGUGCAAUCGUUAGGAGACAAUAGCACGGGAUAUUUACAACCGGUUUGGAUGGCGGUCUAAUAAUAGGCUAGAUGUUUAGUCAUCAUGAUCUGUUCUUGCCGGUUGUGAUAACUUUUAUCUUCAGUUUACGUUUGGCUCUUUUUAUAAGCUUGCACCGUACCACACACAUUUUGGACCUUUUGCUUAAUAAUAUGGCCACAUGCAUCGUAUUGAUGUAGAGUCCGGGGGUGAUCCUCCUUUUUGAAAAAAAAAUACAGAACCAGUAGAACAAAUGAAGAUAUAGACCCGGUGAUUUAUAUGCACACAUGGUAUAGGGUCAACAGAUACGAGGACUCAAUUGCUUUAUGGCAAACAGAGGUGAUAUUAAAAGACUGAUAAACUGAGCUACUUGCACAUUAAUUGGUAUUCCAGUUUCUAUUUGGAGUACGAAGCUGGGGACUAUAAAAGCCAAGAUAGCGACUCAAAGAAUAGAGAAUGUAUUGAUUUUCUUUGGAAAAGGAUAGAGAAUGGAUUGUUGUGUACUCCCUCCGUCUAGGUGUGUAAGGCUGGUCAUAGUGGGGAGUAACUUAGAGUAGUAACAUGUAUAUGUUACUAGCCUAUGUUAUUACCUUCAUAGUGGGUGGUGUCAUAUGUGUAGUAACAUAGAUGUCUUCAUUUAUCACUAUGUAGACUCAUUUUGCAUUGAAAAGCGCUAUGUGAUGGUAACAUAUUAUGUUACUCUAUUUGCCUCUCUCCUCAUUAACUACUUGCCGCGUCAUCAUUUUUGCUUAUGUGGCAUCUAUGUUACUCCUUAAGUUACUCCCACUAUGACCAGCCUAAGUCAUCUUACGUUGUGCACCGCAACCAAGGUUGAGAGAAAAACGAGAAAACUUAAUGUCUUUUUGCUAAUUAAUAGCUUUGCAUGCAAUGAACUAACCACUACAUGUCAUGUUUGGUAGUCUCAAGUCAUUGAAAGCAUGUCUCUUAUUGGUUGAUAUGUCACAAAACAAGAAACGGGGAGAGAAUUAAUGUACCGUGCCUAAGUGUUUUGGGAUUAUUUGGUUUUCGUAAGGUGACUUACACACCUAAACGGAGGGAGUAGCAAAGAUUGUAAUCCUCUUGCAUUUUGUUUUCGGUUGUACUUUUCCAGUUGGGAUGUGUGUUGCAAUAAUCAGCAUGUAUGUUUGGUUCCCUUGCCGACUUUGCUUAUCUUGGCCAGAGGGGUAAGCAGACAUAUAUAGUGGCCUUGCUAGAGGGACAAUGUGUAAUUGGAUGCGCCAAGUAGUAUAGUUUAUCUAGGAAUUGAUAAUAUUGGAUAAAUAUAUAUUACCUGAUCACCCUGGAAAGCAUAAAUAGUCUGGUGAGCAGACAAUUGUUUCAGUUUUGAUACUAUGCUUCUUUGCCCUACACAUAAGCUUGCAACCUCAGCGUGCACUGUAGACACAAUUAUCCGGCUUCCUUUCUUGUUGUUUGGGAAACAUGCUUUAAUUUGGUCCCAGUCUUCAACGGUAGACAAGUCAGUCAGCACAAUCAGGUAACUCUUUUCAUUGACAUACUGUAUCUUUUGAACUCCUGAGCCAAAUCUUGCCCUGUCUUCUCCGUCUCCAGCAGAACGUCAACACCUAGGACGGCUGUGCGGAACUGCCUGAGUAAUGUCUGCACAAAUUGCUUUGGACUGAAAGGAUGCAUCACCCUGACCCAUGCUCGACAUGGGAACUUCAGUUUGAGAUCCGUAUCCUCGUAGGAUGCUCUGAUGAUGGACACCAGACCGAGAUCACCGCCGGUUCCCCACAAUGCGAUCACUCUAAGGUCAUGAUCCUUCUUGUUGAUGAGUUUGACCAGAUUCGCAUUUGCCUUGUCGAGCAUAGCGACACGCCUUGACUCGUCAACGCCAAACAUCGGCCUGUUGGCGGCGGCGGAGGUGGGAUUGGAGCCAGAGGCGCCGUUGACGAGGUUGUAGCGCAAGUUUCGCUUGUUGACUUCUUCAACCUUCACCCGGAGCUCCAGCAUCCGCUGGGCGACAUGACGCCGAUCCAGCAGCGUGCGAGGGAUUCGCCACCAAGAUUGCUUCUCUAGACGGACAGCGAAGUCCAGGAGGCAGUCCUCUACCUCGUAGGACACGUCCCUGACUUGCUUGACCCAGAUCGUGACGACCUCGCUGUUGUUUCCCUCGGCGUUCCCGGCCAUAAGGAAACCCUGCAUCAUCUCCAGCUCAUCGGUGAUGAAGGCCUGAUCCCGCCGCACUCCGAGCUGCAAAGCAACCUCCUCGGCGAUGGUGGACCGUGCGUAGCCAAUAGCCCCAUUCAGCACGGUCUUGCCCACGCUCAGAAGAGUGGCCUCCAUUACUACUAGGAUUUGGUGGACGCAGAGGCAGUACUAUCGCUAAUGCUCCGCGCUCUCGCGUGUGUUGUGUGGACGGGGACGGAUACCCAAUCUAAAGACGGGGCUAAGAAGGGGAGCUUGGUUGCAAUUUGCAAACAAAGCAUCUGUAAUUUGAUAUUGUCUUUAGGUAGGACUAAGACGAAGACUAAUGGGCUGUAGUAGGUGCAAGUCCCAAAGAUUAAUUAAGUUCUCUUUUUAGUCAGGGGUGCUUGGAACUUUAGCCUCUAAAAAAGACUACUUUUAGUCAGACUAAAAAUAGUCCCUUGUAUCCAAGCACCCUCUGAGCGUCGUGCUUUGGCCGGGCAUCUUCCGGGAAUCUUUCCGUUGGAUGGGGCUGUGCUGCCAUGGUUGGCACGGUGAGCAAUGUGAUCUCCACCUUCUCUCCGUUUUAUAAUAAUUUAUAUUUAAAUCAUGGGCGAAAGAGCGAAGCAUCUUCGCUCUGCUUUACAGAAUUAGUUUUUGGGCCAAGAGACGGGAAAAGAAUCCAAGGGUCGCCUCAAUCGUACGCUAUACUGUGAUGAGCCGGGACAGUACUGUAUUAUUUUUUAGGUGCAAUAGCAGGUGCUCUGCUUUUUUAGCAAGGGGAGAAAAACAGUUUACAAGAGCAAAGAGAAGACUAAAUUUCCGUUUGCAGGCUGCAGGGAUGGCUGUACUCCCUCCAGUCCUUUUUUCUCUGCGUUUAAGAAAAUUUCGUUUUUCCCGCAAUGCUCUGCGUAUUGGCCUUUUUUCGCUGCUCUUUCCAACCGUGCCCUCCAUCCCUUUCUACCGCAUGCGUGCCUGCAGUAAUCCUAUCUCUCUUUCCCAUGUGUUUCGCAUCUUCCCAAGGCAGAAAGAGCUGCUUGCAUGCAGAAACAGGAGAGAGAGAGAGGGAGAGGCGCAUGCAUGCAGAGAGAUGGGCAGGGGAGAGAGAGAGCCGACAUGCAUGCGAAGUCUGGGCCAAUCUCGCAUGCAACCAGGGCCUCUUCGGAUGAAUCCAGGUGCAAAACAGUUCAUUUUUUGCUAAUUGCUCCUCUCCUUGGUAUGCGGGCUGGACCUUAGACGCAGAGAAAAAACGACUGGAGGGAGUACAAAGAGAACUGCACACUAACUCUCCAUCGCCUCACACAGGAGGCAAAUAUUCUGUUUAAUCAGCAGCCAAGUGGCUGAUAUGCUGAAAAAAAAUGCAGCAGUUACCCUCUUUUCAAACGUUUCAAACAGUAUAGGCCGCGAGAACUCUGUUAACCUAGCAAAAUUUGCACCACCAACAUUGACUGUCAGGGAGGACAAAGCAUCCCUCGAAGAUUGUUGCAAAGGCAUCCCAAUAAGAUGCCACACAUGAAAGUCCUAUUAUGAUCCUGAGCACAAAUGCACCCUGAUGAAAAGUAAUAUAAAAAAUUGUAAAUGAAUUGAAAAAAGAAUCAGAUUUUUCUUGAGAUAAACUUUGACCAAUGUUUUCUAUACUUAACAAAUUUCAAAAUGAAAUGACAUUCGUAGAAGUCAUGGCAAAAAAAUCAGCACUACAAAAUAUUUUUAAAACUAGCAUUUUUGGAGCAUCAUUUUAUUUCAUGAUUUCCACGAAUAUCAUUUCGUGGUGAAAUUUUGCAAGCUUAAAAAAUAGUUAUCAAAGUUUACCAAAAAAAUCAGAAUUUUUUAAAUUCUUUUACUACUUUUUUUACUGUUCAUGACGGAGCAUUUGAUCUAAAAACAUGCAAUUUUUAAUAGUCUAUAAUAAGGGCCACAUGUAGUAUGUAAAGAAAUCCUGGGCUGAGGGCUCACCUUGGGUUGACUGGCAUUUUAGUAGACCAAGACGACACUAACAAACUUGAGCAAUUGAAACCUUUGAGGUGCAUGUGAGAAAAGGAGCACCUAUGGCCAAUAAAAUGAGUGCAGCUUCUCAGAUUGUACAUUCUGGAGGAUCCAGUAAAGUUGAGUGGUCUAUGGGGUUCCUGGUUGCAAGAAUCCAUGGAGCAACAAUGCAUUUGCAGACAGAAACAAUAGACUGACUCUAAGCACAGGUAUUUGCUAUGCAAAGGACAGAAAAGAUCACAGACAACUUCUGAACAUAUCUCAUAUCAUGAUAAUAGAAACCUCCAUACUUGCCUCCAUGUUAUAUUUGAGGUCGGCGUAGCAUAUAGCAAGCAUGCACCAUUACCAACUACCGACAGUUCAAACAUCAUCGGUGCUAUAGCAUAGACGAUAGUGUUGCUUGACACACGACAAUGAGCCAACCAUUAACACUGAACAUCAGCCUAACACUACCGGAACAGGGCUCUACACCGACAGCCAAAUAUAUGCCGACGGCUGCCGUCGGCCUACUCCGAGCUAUGCCGACAGCUAGCUCCUGGCCGUCGGCGUACAAUGGCCGUCGGGUAAUCCGUGUCUACGCCGACAGCAGCCGUCGGCAUAUAUAGGCCGUCGGCUUAUCCUAGACUACGCCUACAGCUGCCGUCGGUAUAUAUAAGCCGUCGGCAUAGAUGCGGGCCCGCUGACAACUGUCAUCACGGCCGGCUAACGACGUCAAAUCUAUGCCGACGGCCGUGACGGUAGCCGUCGGCAUAGAUACGGGUGACACGUCACCGAUCCAGAGCGCACCGACCAGGAGCUAUGCCGACAUAGUUUUUUUUCUUUUUUCUCUUUUUUCUCAUAUAGUAUUAUUAUUAUUAAGCAUACAGUAUGUGUUAAUAAGCAUACCUAUAGAUUGUGUUAAUAAGCAUAUAGUAUGUGUUAAUAAGCAUACAUAUAUUUUUUUUCUUUUUCUUCACUGUUUUCUUUAUUAUUUUUAUUUAACUAACUUACAUACAGUAUGUGUUAAUAAACAUACAUACAUUAUUUUUCGGUUCUGUACAGAGCGUUGUGACCCCCCUCACGAACGGUGCCGCCGCCAGCCGGCAACUGGAAUGGGGAAUAGCCGCAUCGGGUCUAUACGAAGGGGACUUUGCUCCAAGUGUUUAUAUAUAUCGGAUGACCUACCACAACCGGAUGGUGUUAUGGCAUGUCCGAAGAGGCGGCACGCAUCUCCGGGGUGUGGCCCCGUCACGGACGGCGCCGCCGCCGGCACCUGGAGGGGGGGAACGGACGCGUCUGGUCUACAUGGAGUGGAUUUAGCUGUGGGUUUGGCCCGGAUGUUGCUCCCCGGUGUCCCUCUGGGCCGACCCGACAAAACCGGGUGGAGAGAUCCACUGGUCAAAGCCCGUCCGUGCAAAGUCAAAUGGCUAGAUCCCGUGGUCAACCGCUCCAGGGUUAGGCGGGACGGGGGCCCUGGGGGUAGCAAUGCCANNNNNNNNNNUGCAAAGUCAAAGGGCUAGAUCCCGUGGUCAAACGCUACAGGGUUAGCCGGGACGGGGGCCCUGGGGGUAGCAAUGCCACCGGAGCGUCGUACCGGGCCCUCAUACAUGCGGGGUGGUGUUGUGGCAUGUCCGAAGAGGCGGCACGCGUCUCCGGGUUGUGGCCCCCCUCACGGACGGCAAUGAAAUGGUAGUAGACGUUCUGCGGUAACGAUGCAGCGUGAAUAUUAUUAAAUACUUGGAGCGCGAUAAAAUCAUGAGUUUUUUACACAACGUGGGCACAUGUGCUAUAGGACUGAUGGUAAUUUUUCAUAAUUUUUUGUGAUGGAGAAGUAUCUGAACACUUCCCUCUACGCGGAUUGCUCUUCGCACGUCUACGACUGUGGCCGGCGGCCUCCGGGGGCUAGCAUACGUCAAAUCUUGCGUAGGCGGCCUCUCACAAAUCUGGAAGUGUUGAGGCGGUUGCAAACGCCCAGCACGCGUCUCCGGGGUGUGCCCCCCCCCCUCACGGACGCCGCCGCCGCCGGCACCUGGAGGGGGGAAACGGACGCGUUGGGUCUACACGGAGUGGAUGUAGCUGUGGGUUUGGCCCGGAUGUUGCUCCAAAGUGUUCCUCUGGGCCGACCUAACACAACCGGGUGGAGAGGUCCACUGGUCAAAGCCCGUCCGUGCAAAGUCAAAGGGCUAGAUCCCGUGGUCAAACGCUACAGGGUUAGCCGGGACGGGGGCCCUGGGGGGUAGCAAUGCCACCGGAGUGUCGUACCGGGCCCUCAUACAUGCCGGGUGGUGUUGUGGCAUGUCCGAAGAGGCGGCACGCGUCUCCGGGUUGUGGCCCCCCUCACGGACGGCAAUGAAACGGUAGUAGACGUUCUGCGGUAACGAUGCAGCGUGAAUAUUAUUAAAUACUUGGAGCGCGAUAAAAUCAUGAGUUUUUUACAAAAUGUGGGCACAUGUGCUAUAGGACUGAUGGUAAUUUUUCAUAUUUUUUUGUGAUGGAGAAGUAUCUGAACACUUCCCUCUACGCGGAUUGCUCUUCGCACGUCUACGACUGUGGCCGGCGGCCUCCGGGGGCUAGCAUACCAUCAAAUCUUGUGUAGGCGGCCUCUCACAAAUCUGGAAGUGUUGAGGCGGUUGCAAACGCCCAGCACGCGUCUCCGGGGUGUGCCCCCCCCCCUCACGGACGCCGCCGCCGCCGGCACCUGGAGGGGGGAAACGAACGCGUCGGGUCUACACGGAGUGGAUGUAGAUGUGGGUUUGGCCCGGAUGUUGCUCCAAAGUGUUCCUCUGGGCCGACCUAACACAACCGGGUAGAGAGGUCCACUGGUCAAAGCCCGUCCGUGCAAAGUCAAAGGGCUAGAUCCCGUGGUCAAACGCUACAUGGUUAGCCGGGACGGGGGCCCUGGGGGGUAGCAAUGCCACCGGAGCGUCGUACCGGGCCCUCAUACAUGCGGGAUGGUGUUGUGGCAUGUCCGAAGAGGUGGCACGCGUCUCCGGGUUGUGGCCCCCCUCACGGACGGCAAUGAAACGGUAGUAGACGUUCUGCGGUAACGAUGCAGCGUGAAUAUUAUUAAAUACUUGGAGCGCGAUAAAAUCAUGAGUUUUUUACACAACGUGGGCACAUGUGCUAUAGGACUGAUGGUAAUUUUUCAUAAUUUUUUGUGAUGGAGAAGUAUCUGAACACUUCCCUCUACGCGGAUUGCUCUUCGCACGUCUACGACUGUGGCCGGCGGCCUCCGGGGGCUAGCAUACGUCAAAUCUUGCGUAGGCGGCCUCUCACAAAUCUGGAAGUGUUGAGGUGGUUGCAAACGCCCAGCACGCGUCUCCGGGGUGUGCCCCCCCCCUCACGGCCGCCGCCGCCGCCGGCACCUGGAGGGGGGAAACGGACGCGUCGGGUCUACACGGAGUGGAUGUAGCUGUGGGUUUGGCCCGGAUGUUGCUCCAAAGUGUUCCUCUGGGCCGACCUAACACAACCGGGUGGAGAGGUCCACUGGUCAAAGCCCGUCCGUGCAAAGUCAAAGGGCUAGAUCCCGUGGUCAAACGCUACAGGGUUAGCCGGGACGGGGGCCCUGGGGGGUAGCAAUGCCACCGGAGCGUCGUACCGGGCCCUCAUACAUGCGGGGUGGUGUUCUGGCAUGUCCGAAGAGGCGGCACGCGUCUNNNNNNNNNNNNNNNNNNNNNNNNNNNNNNNNNNNNNNNNNNNNNNNNNNNNNNNNNNNNNNNNNNNNNNNNNNNNNNNNNNNNNNNNNNNNNNNNNNNNNNNNNNNNNNNNNNNNNNNNNNNNNNNNNNNNNNNNNNNNNNNNNNNNNNNNNNNNNNNNNNNCGCCGGCACCUGGAGGGGGAAACUGACGCGUCGGGUCUACACGGAGUGGAUUUAGCUGUGGGUUUGGCCCGGAUGUUGCUCCCUGGUGUCCCUCUGAGCGGACCUGACACAACCGGGUGGAGAGAUCCACUGGUCAAAGCCCGUCCAUGUGAAGUCAAAGGGCUAGAUCUCGUGGUCAACCGCUCCAAAAAGGCCGCACACGUCUCCGGUGCGUGGCCCCCCUCACGGACGGCGCCGCCGCCGGCACCGGGAGGGGGGAACGGAUGCUUCGGGUCUACACGGAGUGGAUUUAGCUGUGGAUUUGGCUCGGAUGUUGCUCCGAGGUGUCCCUCUUGGCUGACCUGACACAACCUGUGGCCCCCCUCACGGUCGGCGAUGACACGGUAGUAGACGGAUCAGGCACUCGUAUAGUUAUCGGAUCAGGCACUCGGUAACGGUACCCCUCAGUCAGUUGCUCUCCUAUGUAUCACCUUUUGCGAGACCAUAGAAAAUAUUUAUAUCAUAAAGAAAUGUUGCUGACCAUAGAAGAAAUUUGGUUUAGAAAAAAAUAUAAAAAAUGAUCAUGUAAUUAUAAAUAAUGUUUCAAACCAUUAAAGAAAAUGUAUGGUAUAUUUUAAAUAAUGUUAAUGCAUGUCAAAAAUAUGUAUACCAUGUAUUAUUUUUAAUAUAAUUGUAUACCUUGUAUCAUUCAAAAAAAUUAAAAAACGUGUAUUUGAAAAUAUUUAAUAUGUACGUACAAAUAUUUUAUAUGUAUACGAAACUUUUCAAUGCGUAUGAAAAUAAUAUACACUAAAAAUAUAUUUGAAGAUAGUUAAUAAUAAUUUUUGAAAAAUGUUAAACAUGUAUAAAAGUUGUUGCAAAUAUAUAUAUACCGACGUGGCGCCUUCACCUAUGCCGACGGCUAAGCCGUCGGCAUAGAGCGCCUUAUCUUAUCCACUCGCGCGCGGCCACCCUUCUCCACUCGUUCUCUCCCACCCGCAGCUCCUCCACUCGCCGCCUCGACCCCGGCCGCGGACCGCCGCCCGUCGCCGCUCCUCGCCGCCCGCUCCACCCGCGCCGCUCCCCGCCGCUGCGCCCUUCCCCUUCCCUCGCCCCUUCCCGCCUCCAUCCCGACCCUCUCCGCCCCCUCCUCGCGGCGCCGCCGUCCACCCGACCCCGCCCCGGCCUCCCAACCCUACCCCGACCCCACAACGCCUCCGUCCACCCGUCCCGCGCCGACCCCGUCUCGCGCCGCCGCCGACAGCAGGGCUCCCAGCCCCUGGCUCGGCCUCCCGGAGCCCGCAGGCCGCCCCGAAGAGCACGCGUGGGCGCGGCUUCGGCCGGCCCUGCUCAUCCAUCAUCGUUCCCUCCCGCCCAAGUGAGCACCUCCCUCCACCGCCGGACGCCGCCGUGCCCCCUCCCAGCCCUAGUGAGCACCCCCCUCCCACAAACCAUUGUUGCCGUUGCUUGUGUUCAUGGUGGCUGGAUAAAUAGAUAGAUGCUAGAUAGAUGGAUGGAUGCUAGAUGAAUAGAUAGAUGGAUGCUAGAUGAAUAGAUAGAUGGAUGGAUACAUAAUAGAUAGUUUUGUGUAGUUUUAUUAGGUAUUUAGAUACAUACUAGAUAGUUUUUACUAAGUUUGUGAAUAUAGAUGAAUUAGAUGUUGGGCAAGUUUGUGAUAGAUGGAUGGAUAUUGGUCAAGAUAGUGUUUUGGUAAUGUUGAUUCAUAUAUAAGAAGCAAAUCAAGGCACAUGGUUUCUAAAAUACUUAAUAAAGAUUUUUUUUGCAAUUUGACCGAUUCAUAAUGUUGUGCCAAAUGGUUAAUGUGAUGUGAUGACCUAAUUUUUUUCACUCGGUGUAAUUAACAGGAUUUGUGGUGUUCCAUCUUCGUGGAGUGAUCGUCGACGUUGGAGGUGUUGGUCCACGAUCGUCCCUCUCCUUUGAUUGACUACAUCGGAGGGUGAGCAGCAAUUCCAUGACCUCGUGCACUUUUUUUCCAUGUCACUAGAUUGAAUUUUCACAUCAAGUCGCGUAACCUAGGUCUCCCGUCCAAAAGGGUUGCAUCGAUAAAUAUGCAUUCAAUUGCAUAUUUAUCACCGCAGCUUUUUCGGAUUGUCCAGCGCUUUCCACGGACAGCCCGAGGAUGUGUAGAUUGGGUAUGUUGUUCAUGCUCUACCCCGUUCCGAGAUAGGAUUUCGGCGGCGCCUCCCUGUUGUUCUCCGGAUGCACAUUAUCUCGGCAUUUUGCCGAGACGUGUAUUUGGAGAACAGCGGGGAGGUGCUGCCGAAAUUUUGUCUCGGAAUGGGGUAGAGCAUGGACCGUACUCAAUCUACACAUUCUCGGGUGAGAUUAGGGCCCAUCUUUACCUAUUAGAGAUGUAGGUGGAUUACUUGUCAACCUUGUAAAAAAUAAAAUAUUGAUGUGGGUAAUUUAAAUGAAUCCUUAAUUUUGUUGUGUGGCUUCCAAUAAAGCAGAGAUGGCAGAUAAUCAGUGGAUGUAUAGUGGGUUUUUCCGUCGGAAUCAAGUAACAACAGAGUGGGUCGAGAAAACUGAUGUGUUUUUGAAAGAGAUAUUCCGUAGACCAAUGAGGAUGGUGCCAGAAUGCCCGUGUGCCAGAUGUAAGAGACGUAUCCGCAGAGAUAAGAGUGAGAUGACUAAGCACCUUCGCACGCAUGGAUUUAUGCCCUACUUUAAUAUGCCGAUAAACUUUGCCCAGCGGGACCGUGGUAGAGAGGAUGUGAUACAACAACGCGUCGCUGGUUAUGAGGACGGUGGGGUUAGAGACAUGCUAGAUGAUGUCUUUGCUGCACAGCCGACACCUCCAUCACAUUCAGCAAAUGAACCGGAGGAGCCGGAGGAAACCGCAAAGGCCUUCCUGGAAAUCUUGGCCUCCUCAAAGAAACCUCUUUAUGAGGGUGGCAAGCUGUCUGUGCUGGAUGCCAUCUCGCAACUGAUGGCAGUCAAGGCUGAGUACGGUUGUAGCCGAGGUUGCUUCGAAGCAUUUCUGGGAGUAUGGGCUAACAGCCUACCUGAGGGCCAUGAACUGCCGAAAACCAUGUACGGUACGAAGAAAAUCAUGAAGGCGCUCUCCAUGGACUAUGAGAAAAUACAUGUUUGUCCAAAGAAUUGCCUUUUGUUUAGGCAUGAGUAUGCGGAUGACAAGUACUGUAGGAAGUGCGGUUCCUCUCGGUAUAUUGAGGUGGUCGAUAAGCAUGGUCAGAAGCAUCAGCUAAAAAUCCCUGUGAAGGUUCUUCGGUAUCUUGAUUUUAUAAAAAGACUGCAGCGCCUUUUCAUCACCGAGGAGUCUACCAAAAUGAUGAAGUGGCACAAGGAAGGGAAAAGGUACAAUCCAAAAAAAAUUGUACAUCCAUUAGGAGGUGAAGCAUGGAAGUCAUUCGAUAUAGAGUACCCGGAGGAAGCAGCCGAGGCUGGGAAUGUCCGAAUUGCUAUAACAGGUGAUGGUUUCAAUCCAUAUGGUAUGUCGUCUAAUCCAUACAACUGUUGGCCCAUAUUUGUUAUUCCGCUCAAUCUCCCUCCCGGCGCCAUAAUGCAAUGCAAGACCAUGUUCCCGUCGCUUAUAAUUCCGGGGCCUGAAUAUCCGAGGAAGAACUUGAGUGUGUUUAUGCAGCCGUUGGUGGAUGAUUUGCACCAUUCUUGGUACUUCCCGAGGUUGACAUACGACCGACAUCUACAGAAAAAUUUCUUGAUGAAAGUUUGGCUACAAUAUUGCGUGCAUGACUUUCCCGGUUAUGCCCUGUUCUGCGGAUGGUGUACAAGUGGAAAGAUGCCUUGCCCAGUGUGCAUGCAGGCCUUGAUUUUCAUUUGGCUGAAGAAGGGUGGAAAGUAUGUUGCAUUUGACCUGCAUCGGCAGUUCCUCCCUCCAGACCAUCCUGAUAGGGAAGACAAGAAGAACUUCACAAAAGGCAAAGUUGUCCAUGAAGUAAACGAGAUUCCAACAUUUUCUGGUGCGGAUGUGCUUGCUCAGCUGAAAGCUCUUAAGCCUGCCGGUGAAGGGAAAGGCAAAGGCAAAGGCAAAGGCAAAGGCAAAGCCACAGGCGAAGACGAGGGCGAGGGCAAAGGAAAAGGUAAAGGGAAAAAAAUUUGAAGGAUAUGGUGAGACGCACAACUGGACUCACAUUACCCCCUUCACGCAGCUUCCCUGUUUUAAGGACCUCAAACUUCCAUACAACAUAGACGUGAUGCACACCGAAAAGAAUGUCGCAGAGUCCCUUUUUCGCACGAUCCUCAACAUUUCUGAUAAGACAAAGGAUAAUGUUAAUGCUAGAGUUGAUCAACAGAAUAUUUUUGAUAGACCACAUCUACACAUGCAGCCUCCCACAGGCAGUCGAAAAUCUUGGUUCAAGCCAGAUGCUGACUUCGUACUUAAAAAGGAUCAUAAGAUGGAGGCAUUCAAGUGGCUGAAACACGUCGUGAAGUUCACUGAUGGUUAUGCGUCGAAUAUAAGUAAGGGGGUCAAUCUUUCAACGGGUAGAGUGACCGGGCUCAAGAGUCAUGACUAUCAUGUAUGGAUUGAGCGGAUUAUGCCGGUGAUGGUUUGGGGCUAUGUUCCCGAGCGUGUCUGGCGUGUGCUUGCGGAGUUAAGCCAUUUCUUCCGCACGCUUUGUGCUAAAGAAGUAUGUCCUGAGAAGAUAAAAGAAAUGCAUAAGAAGGUGCCGGAGUUGAUAUGCAAGCUAGAGGAGAUCUUCCCGCCAGGCUUCUUUACUCCGAUGACACAUCUCAUUUUGCACCUCCUGAACGAGGUAUUGUUGGGGGGCCCUGUGCAGAAUCGUUGGCAGUACGGCCCUGAGAGACAGAACAAGCAUCUGAGACAGAAAUGUGGAAACAAAGCUAAGAUUGAAGCUUCCAUAGCUGAGGCAAUUAUCCUAGAGGAGGUGGCAGACCUCAGGGCAGCCUACUAUCCGGACCAUGUUCCCACGUUGCACAAUAAGGUGUCUCAAUACAAUACAGAAGAACCCAAGUAUAAACCCAAGUUGCCUCUAUUCAUCGGGCAAGGUGGUAGGGCUGGAUGCUCGAAACCUUAUGUCAUGCCACGAGAUGAGUGGGAGGAUGUCAUGUUCUAUAUCUUGCACAACAUCAAGGAAGUUGAGGAUGAGUGGAUGAGGUAAUACCUUUGCACCAUUCUUUUAGUAAAUUCGUUAUGUUCACUUUGCCUAGUUCUUAUACCACUUUUCUUAUUGUAGUCAAUUCGUUGAAGAAGAAUGGACGGGAAUGCUGCCUCCUACUGAAGCGGAGGCACUUGCGCUUCUCCGAAAGGGUGCUGAUGGAAGGAAAAAUUUCGUUGCGUGGUUCAUGGAAAAAGUAUUUUUUCACAUUUUCAAUUAAACUCAUGCACCCUAUAAUUUCAAUUAAACUCAUGCACCCUAUAAUUUCAAUUAAACUUGUAGGGAAAUGAUCCGACCGAAUCAAUGGAUGAAGAAUUGAGAUGGGUUUCCAUGGGUUUUGACCCUGUCAUCAUGACAUGCGAAAAGUAUGAUGUGAAUGGGUAUCGCUUCCAUACAGAGGAGCACCAGAACAGUUGGCCUGAUCCCAAAACCAUAAAUACCGGAGUCUUCACUGAAGGAGAUAAUAAAGUAGAUUACUAUGGAAGGGUAGGAAAAAUAUACGAGCUUAGAUUCAAACUUGGCCGCAAACACCUAAGUCUCACUGUGUUCAAAUGCCGAUGGUUCGACCCCAAAAAGGGUCUGAGACAUACGCCUUCUGUUGGUUUAGUUGAAGUUAAACCAUCAACCGUCUAUGCCGGAGCUGAUCUCUUUAUCGCCGCUACCCAGGCCACACAAGUAUAUUAUCUGCCUUACCCAUGCCAGAAAGAGUACCUAAAGGGUUGGGAAGUUGUGUUCAAGGUGUCGCCGCAUGGUAAGCUACCGGACCCGAACGAUGAUGAUUACUACAACAUAAACCCCAUGACAUACGAGGGAGUGUUCUAUCAAGAGGAACAUGAUGACAUGGUCCGAAACAACGAGGAUGAUGACUUGGGUUAUGUUGACCUGGACCCAAACGACGACGACGCACGGAUUGAUGGUGAGGCAGUUGUGAAUCAAAGAGACAUAAUUAUGCUUGAAAAGUUAAAUGAAGACGCUGACGAUGAGGAAGAGCCUCCACCUCCGUCAGACAACGAAGAAGAUAUGCGUGAUAGUGAUGAUGAGACCGCUCCACAAAUAGAUUACAAUUGUGAUGAUUCAUAUGGGUUCUAGAAAAUGUAAGUUCUUUUAAUGAUCAUUACAAUAGUAUGCUUAAUGUGCUCUUCUGGUAUUAAUGUUUUUCCUGUAUGCUUGUUUAAUUGAUAUCCUUACUAAUUGUUUAUUCUCUUCUUAAUGCAGGUUUGCUAAUCAUGGGCAAGUCCAGCGGCGCCAGUUUCCUCAGUAAAUUUAAAGGACUUACUCGGAGUGGACGAGCCCACAAGGUUCCCUCCUGACUACGCGAGGAUGACACCUCACAGGGAGGUGGAGGGGUCGGGGGAGGAGACCCUAGAGGAGGAGGCGGUGGGGGAGAGCCCCUAGAGGAGGAGGAGGUGGGGGGAGAGGCAGCCGGGGCAAAAAACUCCGGGCCGUGUCCAAAAUAGGAGGAUCUUCUUCGAUGCCCUCCCAUACAGAGGCACCUUCUGAGUCUGAGGAGGAGGAGUAUGUUCCUGAUGGCGAGGAGGAGGAGGCCGAGGAGGAGGGUGAGGAGGAGGAGGCCGAGGAGGAGGGUGAGGAGGAGGAGGCCGAGGAGGAGGGUGAGGAGGAGGGCGAGGAGGGUGGAGGGGAGGUUGAUCCCGAGUUGUGGGGUGACUUGCCACCGGGUGCUCCGCAGGGGUGGCUGCGUGGUAAUGUCGGACUACCUACACCACCUUCUAUCGAGGAGCACAAGUGGCUCAUUGAACUUGUGGGGACAGAGUAAGUGCCUCUCAAUAAUAUUUUCAACACAUGACAACAUUUUCUUAUUGUACACAUGGCAAUCAUUUGAUUCUUUUGCAGAAACUGGAUCCUUAGCGGAAAGGGUCGUAAACCGAACGGCCUUAUCACUGUCCUGUUGAAGCAGUUUUGGCCUGGCCUAUUCUGCCCGCGGCCAGACAGGGACCCGCAGCUGUGGGUUUUGGCCACGAGCUGGGCCCACUACGAGGCUUGCAGCAACGCGGAGUACGGGACGGCCGCUAAGGCUGUGAUCACCAAAUUUUGGGUAAGUUCUCUUCUGAAUCACUUGUCUUCAGUUUCGUUCAUAGUUUAUCAUUGAAUCACUCAACCCAUGCCUUGUUUGCUUCUGGUUUAUGCAGCAACUCUAUAGAGUUCUUGACGAGCACAAGGCCAGAGCCGACGUGGUCUUACUUGCGGCUGCGAAGAAGAAAGCUCGUCAGUUGCAGUACGAGGUGCGCUGGGUUGCCGUCUCGCAGUACUACCACAUCUACCUGCACCAAAAGAUGACCAAAACUCAAGCGCAGAAGCAAAAACUUACCUUGAACAGGGAGCAGUUCAUGAUGGUAACUAUUACUGACUUUUCAUUGUUUCAAGCAGUCAACUCUAUGUUUUGUGCUCACAUGUCAUGCUUCCAAAAUUUGCAUAGGUUGUUCCUCGUUGGUGCUAUGGAAGGCAUGACGGAUGGGCGAGUUUGGUGGAUAGGUGGCUCGGCGCCGAUGCAGAGUUUGCUGCCAAGAGCAUCAAGGGCCGGGCUAACCGUGGAGCUGACGGGACACACGGCCAAGGAAAUAGGAAUCACUGGAGCUUCAAGGCCAUGAAGGUAUAUCUAUGUGCAUGAUGCAUUUUUGUUCUUCUUUACUGUCAUGUUCUUAUGUAUGGCUAACUUCUAUUUGACGUUGUAGGAGGACAAGUUGAAGAGGCCGCUCUCAGACAUGGAGUCGUGGAAGCUGGCCCGCGAGCGGAGUCAUCGCAAGGAGGGCGAGAGCCAGUACUACGGCAAGACCGAGGAGCACCUGGGGUCUUACAUUCAUCACUAUCAGGAGUUGCAUCCGGAUGUUCCUGUUGCUGAGGUCGCCUAGUCUUAGAUCGACGACACGGCGGUGGUGGCCAUCCAGGGGAAGAAGAAUGGCCGGUAUCCGUGUUUCGACGGCUUGAUCACUCCUUCGAUCUCGUACACACAGUUUCGGGCUACCAACCCGAGCCAGUUAGAGAGUAUGGGGCGUUCACAGACUCCCUUAGCCCGCCAGCAUGCUGUAAGUACUUUCUCUUUAUCUUUUUCUAUCUAGCAUUCUCAGUUUAUUUUCAGCAUUGCUCACUUAGAAACAAUCUAAAUUAUGUAGGCAUAUAAGGAGUUUGUCGAGCAUAGGAAUCUCGAGGUGCGGGAGUACUUGAAAUGAGUGAAGGUAAACGAAGAUUACAACCGUCAGAUGAUGACGGUUAGUUUUGCCCUCUUAAAACCAAGCUAAAUUUUUGCACUUUCAUUCCUUCUGAUCUUCUAGUUUGCUUGCUUAACUAACAUUCAGGCUAUGUUGGCGUCUUGGAGUAACCGCACGGAUCCACCACAAAUGGGACCCCCACCACCACCUGCAGGAGAACCCCCACACGUGCCAUGUUCGAUGAAUGGGUGGCACUAGGCAGUGAUGGUCCGGUUAGUACAUUUGCCUAACUACUGACAAACUAGUUCUCGUUCAUUCAACACUAUCAUAUCAUAUUUACCGUUAGAAUCUUUUAUGAAACAUGUAGGGGACCGGUGGCUCGACUCCUGCUCCGUCGACCCCAGUCACUCCGAUCUGGCAGAGUGGUGGUGGUCCCAAUGGCGGUUUUGGUGGAGGUGGUGGUGGUUUUGGCGGAGGUGGUGGUGGUUUUGGCGGAGGUGGUCUUGCUUGAUGAUUUCGUGCAUGUGGUCGUCGUGCCAUGCCUUUCAUAUUCCUACUUCUAUGAUGUUUCAUGUCUUGCACUACUUUUAUGUUCAUGAACUUGAGUCGGUGAUGAUCUUUAGAUGAUGUGAUGAACUUGAGUAUGUUUAGAUGAUGAUGGUGAACUUGAGUAUGUUUAGAUGAUGAACUGUCAUAUUUCUGCAUAAUUUCAUAUUGUUCUGUUUUGAAAUGCUGUCAAAUGAAUUGGAAAAGAGAAAACAGGGAAAAUAAAAAAAACUAUGCCUACGGCAAAGCCGUCGACAUAUAUAGAGGAGUCACCAGGGCUCGCCACGUGGCAUAUCUAUGCCGACGGCUUUGUCGUAGGCAUAGAUGGAAAUCUAUGCCGAUAGAUGGAAAUCUAUGCCGACGGCAAAGCCGUAGGCAUAUCUCUGCUUCCACGAGUAACCAGGAGACGACACGUGGCAGAGCUAUGCCUACGGCAAAGCUGUCGGCAUAGAUUCAUCUAUGCCGACGGCUUUGCCGUAGGCAUAGCCCUACCACCAGGAGUACCACGGGUUGCCAUGUGGCAGAGAUAUGCCGACGGCUUUGCCGUCGGCAUACAUCUGCCACAUGGCAUUGCAUGAUUCGUCCGCGCUUUUGACGGCUGUUGGGGAACGUAGUAAUUUCAAAAUUUUCCUACGCACACGCAAGAUCAUGGUGAUGGCAUAGCAACGAGAGGGGACAGUGUUGUCCACGUACCCUCAUAGACCGUAAGCGGAAGCGUUAUGACAACGCGGUUGAUGUAGUCGUACGUCUUCACGAAUCGACCGAUCCAAGCACCGAACGUACGGCACCUCCGUGUUCAGCACACGUCCAGCUCGAUGACGUCCCCCGGACUCCAAUCCAGCAAAGCAUCGGGGAUGAGUUCCGUCAGCACGACGGUGUGGUGACGAUGAUGAUGUUCUACCGGUGCAGGGCUUCGCCUAAACUCCGCGACGAUAUGAUCGAGGUGGAAUAUGAUGGAGGGGGGCACCGCACAUGGCUAAGGAACGAUCCGUAGAUCAACUUGUGUGUCAUGGGGUGCCCCCCUGCCCCCGUAUAUAAAGGAGCAAGGGGAGGGGGCCGGCCAAGAGGAGGAGGCGCGCCAGUAGGAUUCUCCCCUCUUUCCAAGUCCUACUAGGAGAAGGGAAGGAAGGGGAGGAGAAGGAGAAGGAAGGAGAGGGAGGAGGAGAAGGAAAGGGGGGCCGGCCCCCUAGUCCAAUUCGGUUUGGGCUAGGGGGGCCGCGCGCCCUACCUCCUCUAUUCCACCACUUGGCCCAUGAGGCCCAUUGCUUCUUCCUCGUAUUCCCGUAACUCCCCGGUACCCCCGAAAAUACCCGAAUCACUCGGAACCUUUCUGAACUUCGAAUAUAGUCAUCCAAUAUAUCGAUCUUUACGUCUCGACCAUUUCGAGACUCCUCGUCAUGUCCCCGAUCUCAUCCGGGACUCCGAACUCCUUCGGUACAUCAAAACUCAUAAACUCAUAAUAAAAUUGGCAUCGUAACGUUAAGCGUGCGGACCCUACGGGUUCGAGAACUAUGUAGACAUGACCUAGAACUAUUCUCGGUCAAUAACCAAUAGCAGAACCUGGAUGUUCAUAUUGGUUCCCACAUAUUCUACGAAGAUCUUAAUCGGUCAAACCGCAUAACAACAUACGUUGUUCCCUUUGUCAUCGGUAUGUUACUUGCCCAAGAUUCGAUCGUCGGUAUCUCAAUACCUAGUUCAAUCUCGUUACCGGGAAGUCUCUUUACUCGUUACAUAAUGCGUCAUUCCGUAACUAACUCAUUAGCUACAUUGCUUGCAAGGCUUAUAGUGAUGUGCAUUACCGAGAGGGCCCAGAGAUACCUCUCCGACAAUCGAAGUGACAAAACCUAAUCUCGAAAUACGCCAACCCAACAUGUACCUUUGGAGACACCUGUAGUACUCCUUUAUAAUCACCCAGUUACGUUGUGACGUUUGGUAGCACCCAAAGUGUUCCUCCGGUAAACGGGAGUUGCAUAAUCUCAUAGUUACAGGAACAUGUAUAAGUCAUGAAGAAAGCAAUAGCAACAUACUAAACGAUCAAGUGCUAAGCUAACGGAAUGGGUCAAGUCAAUCACAUCAUUCUCCUAAUGAUGUGAUCCCGUUAAUCAAAUGACAACUCAUGUCUAUGGCUAGGAAACUUAACCAUCUUUGAUUCACGAGCUAGUCAAGUAGAGGCAUACUAGUGACACUAUGUUUGUCUAUGUAUUCACACAUGUAUUAUGUUUCCGGUUAAUACAAUUCUAGCAUGAAUAAUAAACAUUUAUCAUGAAAUAAGGAAAUAAAUAAUAACUUUAUUAUUGCCUCUAGGGCAUAUUUCCUUCAACGGUGCCGUCCGUGGCCGUCAGACGAAAGACAUUGCCGACGGCUAUACUAUGCCGACGGCUGACGGCAGGCCGUCGGCAUAGGCCCCUAUGCCGACGGCUAUACUAUGCCGACGGUCUGACAAGACUACGCUGACGACAUCUACGCCGACGGGUCUAUGCCGACGGCAGCCGUAGGCAUAGAUCUAUGCCGACGGCUUAGGGGCCUAUGCCGACGGCCCGUGGCCGUAGGCAUAGACCGUGAGUCCGGUAGUGUAAUGGCAUCUCACUCACUUCCAGCCUCACCAGGCAUCUCACUCACUUCCAGGCUGGGUACGAGUUGUCCCGCCUAUUGUUCCUGAAAGCAUAGCACCCAACAGAGUAGACGAUGAUGAGAAAUAUGAUGUUGAUGGUGGCGAUCUUCUUACAGUCGUUCUUCAGGUUGGCUAGCAUGCCGGCCUUACAUGACUGGCAGUCGUAGCAGAGGGCCCUCUGAUCAUUCAACCACGUGUUGCAGUUGGGGUCAUUGGUAGAGUUGAGGCCAUGAGGUUUAAUUGAGACGGUCUGGCUCCGGUAAGUGAAGUUGCACCCAGUUGGGGGCUUGUAGCAUCCAGACAGAACACAAGAUAGGUGUGUGUUAGUUGCAGAAAACGCAACUUACUUAGUAAUUCAGCAUAGCAUUGACGAAAACACAGGUCAAAGCCAAAUGUCAAGAAGUCACACUGACGAUGUAGGCAAGGCGGGGGUACCAAAUGCGAUAGACGAACCUCAACAGCUAGAAUGACCAGCAGGAAAUUCGCCAUCGACAUCGGCACAGAUAAUACCCUCAGGAUAGGGAGACUAGAUGGGACCUUAUCAGCCGGGCCGGCAACACUCCCACCACCAACGAUGCGUGGCCGAAGAAGACUUUAUUGAGAGCUGCCACCAUCGUUGCCGGAAAGGCCAAAGCGGCCGACGUAAAAAAACUUGCCUAAAGACUCAAAUAAAAAAGGGUUGGAGAGUGACAGUAGGGGAAGAGAAGCAAUUUGCUCCAUGAUUGUUUUUAAAUAUUUAUUUUUUAUAUUAAUGAAAAUCUAUUUUGAAAUAUAUGGUAUUUUUAAUAGAUAUUAUAAUUAAUAAUAAUUUUGUGAUAAAAAAGUUUUGUAACAUAAAGAACAAAAUUUCAAGGUUGGCCUGAACAUUUCAGUUAGUCAAUGAAUGUGGACUCUCUUUCAGUCAAGGUUGCUAUUAUAUUGUCAUCAUUGCACUAAACAUCUUCAGACAAUCAGUACUGGGGACUUCUAUUAUGACACAUGAUACUCUUUAGUUGUUGAUAUUGUUUCACAACAUCAUUCAACCAUUGAUCUUCUCAUUGAAAUGUAUUCUGUAGAGAACAAGAGAUGAUAUAUUGGCUUCGAAAGAUCUUGACAGAACCUAAUGUAGGUGAUGAAAUUAAUUUCUUGUAUGCUCUAGCUUCAAUCUAAACAUCUAGCCGAAUACAACAAUCUCAACUUGUUGGAGGAGUGGAUGUACAAUCUCAACAAGACUCGUAUAGUUCAUUUUUUAAAAGUGUAUAGCAAGGUAAGUCAAUAAUAACUCAUCUUUAGUUCUACACUUACACUCCAUCUACCACGUCGUUGAGUUGUUGUCGCAUUUACUUCGUCCUACCUCCCAUCUAGUGCAUGUACAUAUAUAUAUAGGUCCGAUGUGGUGUACACAAGAAGCAAACCACCAUGAAAAGUNNNNNNNNNNNNNNNNNNNNNNNNNNNNNNNNNNNNNNNNNNNNNNNNNNNNNNNNNNNNNNNNNNNNNNNNNNNNNNNNNNNNNNNNNNNNNNNNNNNNNNNNNNNNNNNNNNNNNNNNNNNNNNNNNNNNNNNNNNNNNNNNNNNNNNNNNNNNNNNNNNNNNNNNNNNNNNNNNNNNNNNNNNNNNNNNNNNNNNNNNNNNNNNNNNNNNNNNNNNNNNNNNNNNNNNNNNNNNNNNNNNNNNNNNNNUGAAGUCGUGUUCCGAUGAAAUACGGAGCGCACACAUUAGAUUUGGAAGGCAUUAGGAAAAGAACAACUUGUGAGUGCUGGACUAGUUGUGAUGCACCUAGUCUGCAACAUUGGCCCUAGGUGAAAACUUGAUCCUAAAUACGAUGGGGCUAAUAUUCCCAGAAAAAGGGAGUAAUUCACUUGCUACAUUGGCAUGCAGUAAAUCUGGGUCUAACUGACUCACCGGGUACUUGAGAAAAGGAGACAGAGUUACCAGGUGGAUGUUCCUCUGAGAAAAGUAAGACAUGGUCUCCAUGAUGGUCAGGGAAACCGCCAGAUUCAACCUUGCCAUGUGCAAAGCGGUGAAGAAUAUACUUCAGGAUUUUCUCUUGUUCUUCAUGGAGGUCCGAUCAGUGUACAAUGCUAGCGAGGUAGCUACACGCUUUCUAGAGCAGCUGAAACUCAAGUACAAUGUUAAUUUGUUCUCCCAAAAACAUGCAACUUUUAACAGUCUAUAAUAAGGGCCACAUGUAGUACUAUGUAAAAAAAUCUUGGGCAGAAACCUCAGCUUGGGUUGACUGCCAUGUUAGUAGACCAAGACGUACUAGAAACUUGAGCCAUUGAAAACUUUGAGGUGCAUAUGACACAUGGUUCAUAGGUGAAGAGCAAGGUUAAAAAACAUCAGGGUGUACAUUCAUAAGCCAUCUUUGAUGCAGUGAGACAAAAUUACCAUAGAUGCAAAUCAAAGCAAGCGCAUAUGGCAGCAAAAUGAGUGCAGCUUCUCUGUUUGUACAUUCUGAAGGAUCCAAUAAAGUCGACUAUGGUCUCUGGGGUUCCUAGUUAAGAAUCCAUGGAAGAUCAACAAUGCAUUUCCAGACAGAAGCAAUAGACUGACUCUAUGCUAUGCAAAGAACAGAAAAGAUCACAGACAACUUCUGAACAUAUCUCAUAUCAUGAUAACAGGAACCUCCAUAAACGAUAUAUUUGAGGUCGGCAUAGCAAAUAUAGCAAGCAUGCACCAUUACCAACUAUCGACAGUUCAAACAUCAUCAGCGCUAUAGCAUAGACGAUAGUGUUGCUUGACACACAACCAUGAGCCAACCAUUAACACUGAACAUCAUCCUAAUUACCUAAGCCAAGCCCCUCCAGGCAUCUCACUCACUUCCAGGCUGGGUACGAGUUGUCCCGCCUGUUGUUCCUGAAAGCGCAGCACCCAACAGAGUAGACAAUGAUGAGGAAAAUGAGGAAUAUGAUGUUGACGGUGGCGAUUUUCUUCCAGUCAUUCUUCACAUUAGCGAGCACGCCAGCCUUGCAUGACUGGCAGUCA